rnacentral:lncRNA from 1 species
GAGCAUCACUGUGAGGUACAUGUUCCCCACUGUCUCAGGCUUCCCUAGCAGGUGUAAGCUCCAAUUGCCCAGAACAGUGCCUUGCUUGAUAACAUGCCCUUUCCUGAUUGCCUUCCCGUCCUUGUCUCAUUUUCCCCCUCUUCCGCCACUGUUUUGUGGAUUUACCUCCCAUGUAAGCGACUGUACUCUGACCCUGGUCUUCGAGCUGGCACCUGGAGGAACUACAACUAACACAGCACACCAUGUGGGCAGAGAAAUGAACAUACACAGAAUAUAUUUGGAGAUGGAGUCUACAGGACUGGCUUCUAAAUGGCAUACAGGGAAUAAGGAGGGAAAGAGGCGUAUCAAGGGCGAAUCCAAGAUAUAUGCAAAUUGUUUCACAUGAGGAACAGAACAGCUCUCCAGCUAUGGAGAGCUGA